rnacentral:sRNA from 1 species
GGACUUCACUGGGCCCUUCAUGAUCAA